UCGACCUCAAUCAAGUAGGA
rnacentral:rRNA from 1 species